AGAGCGAACGCUGGCGGCAGGCCUAACACAUGCAAGUCGAACGGACUCUUCGGAGUUAGUGGCGGACGGGUGAGUAACACGUGGGAACGUGCCUUUAGGUUCGGAAUAGCUCCUGGAAACGGGUGGUAAUACCGAAUGUGCCCUUCGGGGGAAAGAUUUAUCGCCUUUAGAGCGGCCCGCGUCUGAUUAGCUUGUUGGUGAGGUAAUGGCUCACCAAGGCUACGAUCAGUAGCUGGUCUGAGAGGAUGACCAGCCACAUUGGGACUGAGACACGGCCCAAACUCCUACGGGAGCAGCAGUGGGAAUCUGCGCAAAGUGGGACGAAAGCCUGAACCGCAGCCAUCGCCGCGUGUAAUGAUGAAGUCUUAGGAUUAGUAAAAAUUACUUUACGACCGGUGAAAGUAUAAUGAACUAGUAGACCGGAGAAAGAACGCCCCGACUAACUCGACGCCAGCAGCCG
rnacentral:rRNA from 1 species